AUUUCUGGAUUUAAACACAUACUUAUUUUGAUCAUCUCCCUAUAUAUAUAUAUAUAUACUCCCAAAUCUGUAACCCUAAAUGAGUCCGCCUCUUUUUCUCUCAUUCUUCACUCUCUAACCCCAGAACUCUAGAAGAUUUCUUCCUGUCUCCAUUCUCCUCUCCAAGCUAGCAAGCCUCCAACCCUUCUCCUAUCUCUACCCAUCCCGUCGCCUCCAGCCUUGCGGCCCGUGCUCAAGCCCGUCGCCCUAGCGGUCGCCUCCGCCCGCCAUCCACGCCUUCUUCCAUAAGAAGAUUUAACUAUGGACAAAGGAUUGGGCCAAAGUUCCUUCCUUCGUACUUGGAAAUAUGAGCAAGAAAGUAAUUGAAACUUUGAAUUUAUUGAUGAUUGAAGACUUGUAGUGAAAUCUCAAUUAGUUGUUGAAACUUAGAAGCUGGAAGCAUUGAAGACUUGAAUGUUUAUAAUUUGUUGACGAGUAAAACUUUAUUUUAGCUGACAUUGUUAUUGUAGCCUAAAUACGUAUCUGUAAUUUUGUUCUGUUUUUUCCCAGAAUUUCGGUUUAGAUUUUUCGGUUUUUCAGUUUUUUAUAUAAUUUCAGUUUUUCGGUUUAA